UAAGUAACCUGGCAUCUACAGGGGGAUAACUGAUGGAAACGUCAGCUAAGACCGCAUAGGUGUAGAGAUCGCAUGAACUUUAUAUGAAAAGUGCUACGGGACUGGUAGAUGAUGGACUUAUGGCGCAUUAGCUGGUUGGUAGGGUAACGGCCUACCAAGGCGACGAUGCGUAGCCGACCUGAGAGGGUGACCGGCCACACUGGGACUGAGACACGGCCCAG
rnacentral:rRNA from 1 species